UACGAAGGGGGCGAGCGUUGUUCGGAAUUACUGGGCGUAAAGGGCGCGCAGGCUGCUCUGAAAGUCAGAUGUGAAAGCCCCGGGCUUAACCUGGGAAUUGCAUUUGAUACUCUGGAGCUUGAGUACGGGAGAGGAGAGUGGAAUUCCCAGUGUAGAGGUGAAAUUCGUAGAUAUUGGGAAGAACACCGGUGGCGAAGGCGGCUCUCUGGACCGUAACUGACGCUGAGGCGCGAAAGCGUGGGGAGCAAACAGG
rnacentral:rRNA from 1 species